UGCAGCUGCUGCUGCUGGUCACUGAAACAGGACUCUUCUCUGGUUACCUAGUAGCUGAUACAAACACUGAGGACCUGAGACUGUUUACAAAUAAACUCCAGCUGGUUGGAGAUUCAUUUCUUUUGUGAAAAAAAGAAGUAAAAAGUAAACAACAAUGAAGAAGUUAGUUUCUAUGGCAACAUGUCAAGGAAUGCAGAGUUAUGCAGAGAGACCUGAAUAUCACCAAAAGAGCCACUCCUUCAGCCUGAUCUCAGAUGAUAAAGACAUGAAGCAGAGCUGAAGCCCAGUCUGUGAUGGACAUGUAAUGAUGGACAUGUAAUGUGAGUUCACACGUUGUUGUAAACCAUGAAGAUCUGGUAGUUGAUUUACGAUAGCCAAGAUAUGGAAGCAACCCAAAUGCCAUCAACGGAUGAAUGAAUAAAGUAGAUGUGGUAUAUAUAUACAGUGGUUUAUUACUCAACCAUAAAAAAAAAGAAUGAAAUUCUGCCAUUUGCAGCAACAUGGAUGGACCUAGAGAAUAUUAUGCUUAGUAAAAUGAGUCAGACAGAGAAAGGCAAAUGCUGCAUGAUAUUACUUAUGUGUAGAAUCUAAUAAGUAAUA